rnacentral:piRNA from 1 species
UAAGAUUGCGGUGGGGCUGUACUAAAGC